rnacentral:rRNA from 1 species
UACGUAGGGGGCAAGCGUUUUCCGGAAUUAUUGGGCGUAAAGCGCGCGCAGGCGGUUCCUUAAGUCUGAUGUGAAAGCACACGGCUCAACCGUGGAGGGUCAUUGGAAACUGGGGAACUUGAGGACAGAAGAGGAGAGUGGAAUUCCACGUGUAGCGGUGAAAUGCGUAGAUAUGUGGAGGAACACCAGUGGCGAAGGCGACUCUCUGGUCUGUCUCUGACGCUGAGGUGCGAAAGCGUGGGUAGCAAACAGG